UCAAGAUCGUCGAAAGAAUCGUAACCUUGCAUCUCAAACAACAAAACAGCUAUUACAACAACAAACAACCUAUCCACGCUACUAACUCCCUAUCCCAAAAAAACAAAACAGGGUAAAGUAUACAUUCUAUUUCAUCUAUAAUCCCAUCAACAACAUUAGCAGCAUCAAUCCCUUUAUUUCCUGCAUUUCGGGAACAUCUCGUGUACCAGAUAUGAGCAACGGUAUAGCUCCCCAUAUAGCCCUACCUUCCUUCACUGUUUUCGAGCAGCCAUUGAGCUUCCUUCCCACGGUCUCAACCUCCAAAUCUCAAUCAACAACAGACUUAUAAUCGGGAUCAAAACAACUUUGAAUACCAUUGAAGUAAGAGCAGCUAGUACUAAACAGAUGACACAUAUCAUCCACUCCAUCAUCGCACAUGAGACACGAAAUGUCUCGAGUUAGUUCCCAACACACCAUAUCACUAUUUGUCACCAACCUCCCCUUGACUGUCAUCCAUCUAAUGAAGUAGUGUGUAGGGAUAGACGAUCCUUUCGAUAUAAGAUUGCAUCACAAGACCUCUUGACUCUUUUUUCCUUAUGCCAUUCCAAACUCUAGAAACAUAAUAACGUAUAUGUCAUAUAAUCUCUUGUCCACAUCAGAUUUCCAAAAGCGACAGACUUAAAAUCAGGACCAAAAAAACUUCGAAUACCAUUGGAUCCCCAUCAUCAUCUUGAUCAAUAAACGGAGUAUCAAUAGUUCUCACCAUAUCAUAAGAAUUUUUCGUCAGACCCAAGAAUAGUACCACACCAACAAAGCUGACUCGAAAUUAGGUACCGCACCAACAAAAUGUUUUUACGUACUAAGUUUUAUGGGCUUGAUUGUUGUUACAAGAGAUUUGUGCGUGGAGGGAUUCUUUUGGAUUACUAGACACCGUUGACUCAACUUGUCAACAAAGGAACGAUUAUUUGCGUGAAUGAGAAGUUUGGAGGAGGAUUUCAGGAGUUGGAGAUAGCUUACUAUAUAUGCUGCCCCCCUACUACUCGCUUUUCCCUGAAAUGAUAGAGAGCAAUGAAUUUACAAUGAUGUAACAUAUUAACCACCUAGUUAUAUAUCGAUUUUUUUUAGAAAACGGCGCCAAAGCGUGAAAGAAAAACUUCAAUAAUGUCAUAGUUAAGGCAGUGAAACAAACUUCAAUUUGGCGAAUUGAAAAAAUUAAAAUCAUAUAAAAAAAGUAGCAUUGAUUAGCCAAAUUAUCUACGACACCAUUUAUUUCGCGGUGGAAAAUGAGUUAUAUAUCAAUGGAUGCAAGCUAAAAUAAAAGUUGAAAAAAUCCCUAUAAACUCUAAAAUGUCAAAAAUAAUAAUCCACUUUUCUUUGUCGUGGUCACUAGUUAUCUCGACCGUGGUCUCCAUUUCCAAUUGGAAAUGUCUUGUGAGGCGGUGGAGUUAAAAAAUUGAUCAAGAGAAUUUUGUAGGUAAAAAAAUUAAAUAUACGGUGCUUUUCCUAGACCACGGCCUUAGUUGUUCUAAUAUUAUAUUAUUAUUUUUAUAUUUUGAGAAGAAUUAGUAUUUUCUUAUAUGCGGUCUAAUGUCAUUUAAAUUGUAUACAACUCGGUCUAGUACAAUAAAUCAUUCUGGAUCUGCUGCUGCUUGAGUUAGUAUAUAUUUGAUUUGGUAGGCUCGCGAGUUUGAGAGCUCACUAUUAAUAGAGUAUUCAAUAAACCAACAUAUGCAAUAAAUUACCUGUUGGUGGCAGCCGUGCUCGGAAGUAAACAAAGUUUGAGUUGAGGUCGUCAAAGAUAGUUAACGAACCAGACUUUGAAUAUGCCCGAGCUCGACAUGCAAGAGUUAUUUUUUUUUUUACCUCGAAUGAGAGCUCGAGCCAAACUUGAGUACUAUAAUGAAACUUAGCUCUGCUCGUGACAAACCCUAUUUAAAGCCAACUUGAUUAUAAUGUUCAAUCUUGGCCAUGAACACUUCAAUUGAAC
rnacentral:lncRNA from 1 species